UACGGAGGGUGCAAGCGUUAUCCGGAUUUACUGGGUUUAAAGGGUGCGCAGGCGGAUAUGUAAGUCAGUGGUGAAAUCUUUAGGCUUAACCUGAAAAUUGCCGUUGAUACUAUAUAUCUUGAAUGUUGUGGAGGUAAGCAGAAUAUGUCAUGUAGCGGUGAAAUGCUUAGAUAUGACAUAGAAUACCUAUUGCGAAGGCAGCUUACUACGCAGAUAUUGACGCUCAUGCACGAAAGCGUGGGGAUCAAACAGG
rnacentral:rRNA from 1 species